rnacentral:rRNA from 1 species
GAUGAACGCUGGCGGCGUGCCUAAUACAUGCAAGUCGAACGAACAGACGAGGAUCUUGCUCCUUUCACGUUAGCGGCGGACGGGUGAGUAACACGUGGAUCACCUACCUAUAAGACUGGUAUAACUUCGGGAAACCGGAUCUAAUACCGGAUAAUAUAUUGAACCGCAUGGUUCAAUAGUGAAAGACGGUUUUGCUGUCACUUAUAGAGGGUUCCCCGCCGCAUUAGCUAGUUGGUAAGGUCACGGCUUACCAAGGCGACGAUGCGUAGCCGACCUGAGAGAGUGGUAGGCCACACUGGAACUGAGCCGCGGUCCAGGCGCCUACGGGAGGCAGCAGUAGCGUAUCGUCGGCAGUGGGCGAAAGCAUUACGGAGUAACGCCAAGUGAGUUAUGGCAGUCUUCGGAGCGGAAAACUCUGUUAUUAGGGAAGAACAAAUGUGUAAGGAAAUAUGCACGUAUUGACGGUACCUAAUCAGAAAGCAACGGCUAACUACGUG